rnacentral:rRNA from 1 species
UAGGGAAUCUUCCACAAUGGACGCAAGUCUGAUGGAGCAACGCCGCGUGAGUGAAGAAGGUUUUCGGAUCGUAAAACUCUGUUGUUAGAGAAGAACGUGUGUGAGAGUAACUGUUCAUGCAGUGACGGUAUCUAACCAGAAAGCCACGGCUAACUACGUGCCAGCAGCCGCGGUAAUACGUAGGUGGCAAGCGUUGUCCGGAUUUAUUGGGCGUAAAGGGAACGCAGGCGGUCUUUUAAGUCUGAUGUGAAAGCCUUCGGCUUAACCGAAGUCGUGCAUUGGAAACUGGGAGACUUGAGUGCAGAAGAGGAGAGUGGAACUCCAUGUGUAGCGGUGAAAUGCGUAGAUAUAUGGAAGAACACCAGUGGCGAAAGCGGCUCUCUGGUCUGUAACUGACGCUGAGGUUCGAAAGCGUGGGUAGCAAACAGGAUUAGAUACCCUGGUAGUCCACGCCGUAAACGGUGGGUACUAGGUGUGGGUCUCAUUCCACGAGAUCCGUGCCGUAGCUAACGCAUUAAGUACCCCGCCUGGGGAGUACGGCCGCAAGGCUA